rnacentral:lncRNA from 1 species
GUGAAAACUUCCUACAUUCCAGAAGUUCGAUGACAUUGAGAAGGUGAAUCACAAUAACUAACUCAAUGCAAGGAGUGCAAACACUUCAAGUGCUUCAGAAGUGUGAGCAAAGAGCAGGAGAAAGCUAGUAACCAGCUUGAUGUAUGAAGUACAACCCUCGAGGAGGCGGGCGAAGUCAAGUAACUUUUGCCUUCUCAACUCUUAAGAGAAUGGGCGAA